GAUGAACGCUAGCGGCAGGCCUAAUACAUGCAAGUCGAACGGGAUCCAGAUCAAAGCUUGCUUUGGUCUGGUGAGAGUGGCGCACGGGUGCGUAACGCGUGAGCAACCUACCCUUGUCAGGGGGAUAGCCCGGCGAAAGUCGGAUUAAUACCGCAUGACAUCAUUGAGAGGCAUCUUUCGAUGAUCAAAGAUUUAUCGGACAAGGAUGGGCUCGCGUGACAUUAGCUAGUUGGUAAGGUAACGGCUUACCAAGGCUGCGAUGUCUAGGGGCUCUGAGAGGAGAAUCCCCCACACUGGUACUGAGACACGGACCAGACUCCUACGGGAGGCAGCAGUAAGGAAUAUUGGUCAAUGGACGGAAGUCUGAACCAGCCAUGCCGCGUGCAGGAAGACGGCCCUAUGGGUUGUAAACUGCUUUUAUACGGGAACAAACGUCGGUACGUGUACCGGCCUGAGUGUACCGUAAGAAUAAGGAUCGGCUAACUCCGUG
rnacentral:rRNA from 1 species